CUGGGCUGAGGGCAGAAGGAUGGGGCUGAGGGCAGAAGGAUGGGGCUGAGGGCAGAAGGAUGGGGUCAGAACUGGGCUGAGAGCAGAGGGAUGGGGCUGAGGGCAGAAGGAUGGGGCUGAGGGCAGAAGGAUGGGGUCAGGACUGUGCUGAGGGCAGAAGGAUGGAGCCUUGGGCAGAAGGAUGGGGCUGAGGGCAUAAGGAUGGGGUCAGGACUGUGCUGAGGGCAGAAGGAUGGGGCUGAGGGCAGAGGGAUGGGGCUGAG